GACGAACGCUGGCGGCGUGCUUAACACAUGCAAGUCGAGCGGUAAGGCUCCUUCGGGAGUACACGAGCGGCGAACGGGUGAGUAACACGUGAGCAAUCUGCCCUUCACUUUGGGAUAACCUCCGGAAACGGUGGCUAAUACCGAAUAUGACCACUUCACGCAUGUGAUGGUGGUGGAAAGUUCUGGCGGUGGAGGAUGAGCUCGCGGCCUAUCAGCUUGUUGGUGAGGUAAUGGCUCACCAAGGCUUCGACGGGUAGCCGGCCUGAGAGGGUGACCGGCCACACUGGGACUGAGACACGGCCCAGACUCCUACGGGAGGCUG
rnacentral:rRNA from 1 species